rnacentral:rRNA from 1 species
UACGAAGGGGGCGAGCGUUGUUCGGAUUUACUGGGCGUAAAGGGCGCGUAGGCGGCCUGCUAAGUCGGAUGUGAAAUCCCUCGGCUCAACCGGGGAACUGCAUCCGAUACUGGCGGGCUUGAAUCCGGGAGAGGGAUGUGGAAUUCCAGGUGUAGCGGUGAAAUGCGUAGAUAUCUGGAGGAACACCGGUGGCGAAGGCGGCAUCCUGGACCGGUAUUGACGCUGAGGCGCGAAAGCGUGGGGAGCGAACAGG